UACAGAGGGGGCGAGCGUUGUUCGGAAUUACUGGGCGUAAAGGGUGCGUAGGCGGCGGGGUAAGUCGGGUGUGAAAUCUCGGAGCUCAACUCCGAAAUUGCACUGGAUACUGCUCUGCUAGAGGGCUGGAGAGGAGAUCGGAAUUCACGGUGUAGCAGUGAAAUGCGUAGAUAUCGUGAGGAAGACCAGUGGCGAAGGCGGAUCUCUGGACAGCUCCUGACGCUGAGGCGCGAAGGCUAGGGGAGCAAACGGG
rnacentral:rRNA from 1 species